rnacentral:rRNA from 1 species
AAAGAAACCAACCGGGAUUGCCCCAGUAACGGCGAGUGAAGCGGCAAGAGCUCAAAUUUGAAAGCUGGCCCCUCCGGGGUCCGCGUUGUAAUUUGCAGAGGAUGCUUCGGGUGCGGCCCCUGUCUAAGUGCCCUGGAACGGGCCAUCGGAGAGGGUGAGAAUCCCGUCUGGGAUGGGGUGUCCGCGCCCGUGUGAAGCUCCUUCGACGAGUCGAGUUGUUUGGGAAUGCAGCUCUAAAUGGGUGGUAAAUUUCAUCUAAAGCUAAAUACCGGCCGGAGACCGAUAGCGCACAAGUAGAGUGAUCGAAAGAUGAAAAGCACUUUGAAAAGAGAGUUAAAUAGCACGUGAAAUUGUUGAAAGGGAAGCGCUGGCGACCAGACUCGCCCGCGGGGUUCAGCCGGGAUUCGUCCCGGUGUACUUCCCCGCGGGCGGGCCAGCGUCGGUUUGGGCGGCCGUUUAAAGGCCCCGGGAAUGUAGCGCCCUCCGGGGCGCCUUAUAGCCCGGGGUGCAAUGCGGCCAGCCCGGACCGAGGAACGCGCUUCGGCACGGAC